GAUGAACGCUAGCGAUAGGCUUAACACAUGCAAGUCGAGGGGCAGCAUGGUCUUAGCUUGCUAAGACUGAUGGCGACCGGCGCACGGGUGCGUAACGCGUAUGCAACUUGCCUCACAGAGGGGGAUAACCCGUCGAAAGACGGACUAAUACCGCGUACACUUGGGAUAGGGCACCCGGACCCAAGGAAAUGAAAUUCGCUGUGAGAUAGGCAUGCGUCCCAUUAGCUAGUUGGUGAGGUAACGGCUCACCAAGGCGACGAUGGGUAGGGGAACUGAGAGGUUGAACCCCCACACUGGUACUGAGACACGGACCAGACUCCUACGGGAGGCAGCAGUGAGGAAUAUUGGUCAAUGGGCGAGAGCCUGAACCAGCCAAGUCGCGUGAAGGAUGACUGUCUUAUGGAUUGUAAACUUCUUUUAUACGGGAAUAACAAGAGCCACGUGUGGCUCCCUGCAUGUACCGUAUGAAUAAGCAUCGGCUAACUCCGUG
rnacentral:rRNA from 1 species